rnacentral:sRNA from 1 species
UUUGCGCAAAGGAUAGAAGUGGCAUCCUUUUUUAAUGCUUUUUAAUUAAAAAAAGAUAUAACGGAUAGCCUGACUUUUU